rnacentral:rRNA from 1 species
CCUACGGGGGGCAGCAGUGAGGAAUAUUGGUCAAUGGGCGCGAGCCUGAACCAGCCAAGUCGCGUGAGGGAAGACGGUCCUAUGGAUUGUAAACCUCUUUUGUCGGGGAGCAAAAGACGCCACGCGUGGCGUUCCGAGAGUACCCGAAGAAAAAGCAUCGGCUAACUCCGUGCCAGCAGCCGCGGUAAUACGGAGGAUGCGAGCGUUAUCCGGAUUUAUUGGGUUUAAAGGGUGCGCAGGCGGAAGAUGAAGUCAGCGGUAAAAUUGAGAGGCUCAACCUCGUCGAGCCGUUGAAACUGGUAUUCUUGAGUGAGUGAGAAGUAUGCGGAAUGCGUGGUGUAGCGGUGAAAUGCAUAGAUAUCACGCAGAACUCCGAUUGCGAAGGCAGCAUACCGGCGCUCAACUGACGCUCAUGCACGAAAGUGUGGGUAUCGAACAGGAUUAGAUACCCUUGUAGUC